CCGAAUCCACAGUCCAGCACCAGGAAAGAAUUCAGCACAUUCCUGGAGGGUUAUCUUGUACAGCCAUAUCUCGGUGCCCUCCCACCUGAAAGAAGAAUUUUCAACAUGGCAGAUGCUGAGGAGUCCAUACAACAUUUAGGGGGCUACGCUGAUCCUGAGAAUGCUGAGAAAGCUUCUCUUAAAACAGUUGUUCUGGUAGAUGAAGGAGAGAGCUCCCUGAAGGCAAUUGCAGGAUAUGAGGAGGCAUGGGUACAUAUCAACAGUGAAGUGCCCAUCAUGACUGACUACCUUGACAAAUACAGUACCUCAUGAUCACAACAGGAGACUGGCCGACAUACUACUUUCAAAAGAAAAUGAUCGCACAGUGGAACCCACGGCAACUGAAUUUUCAGAUAUCCCUGAUCCCGUGGCAUGGGCCAUUCCACAUCUCCUAUAAUGCCCAGCAGAAUGUCGUUGUCAUUUAUAGAUUUCUGUUUGAGCUGAUGUAUAAGGCAAUUUUUGGUGCAAG